GACGAACGCUGGCGGCGUGCCUAAUACAUGCAAGUAGAACGCUGAAGGAGGAGCUUGCUUCUCUGGAUGAGUUGCGAACGGGUGAGUAACGCGUAGGUAACCUGCCUGGUAGCGGGGGAUAACUAUUGGAAACGAUAGCUAAUACCGCAUAAUAGCAGUUGUUGCAUGACAACUGUUUGAAAGGUGCAAUUGCACCACUACCAGAUGGACCUGCGUUGUAUUAGCUAGUUGGUGGGGUAACGGCUCACCAAGGCGACGAUACAUAGCCGACCUGAGAGGGUGAUCGGCCACACUGGGACUGAGACACGGCCCAGACUCCUACGGGAGGCAGCAGUAGGGAAUCUUCGGCAAUGGACGGAAGGCUGACCGAGCAACGCCGCGUGAGUGAAGAAGGGUUUCGGAUCGUAAAGCUCUGUUGUAAGAGAAGAACGAGUGUGAGAGUGGAAAGUUCACACUGUGACGGUAUCUUACCAGAAAGGGACGGCUAACUACGUG
rnacentral:rRNA from 1 species